rnacentral:lncRNA from 1 species
UGGACUCAACGGUUUCGUGUACGGUGAUGAUCUCCAGUAUAGCCAAUUGGAAAUGGACCUUAUUGCCUCUACUGCACUUAUUUGUACUUCUCUCUGCAAGUAUUAAUAUAACUACUUAUUAUCUGACAGGUAAGUUUAUAACUUGGCUUUUACUACUUCUUACUUCUUAGGAUAAUGGAUAACUCACCUGGGAAGUUUCUUUCGUGGUUCGGCUCAUGGCUUUGGCGUAUCUUUCUUGGAACUUCUUGACAUCAACAAAUACAUUGGAGACACGCUCGCCAACCGUGUUUCCAACCCCGAUUCUCACGUUGCCUCGUGGUUGCUUUGACAUAAGGAACUCUAAUGGAGCAAGGUCAGAUCUCUCCACCAUUCUGCACAUCUCAUAAAGAAUCAUACUUUAUGUAUUUCUCUAAAUGUCUCUCUUGACUUCACAUAUUGAGAGGGAAUUGAAACAAAACCAUUACUACAUGUCUACAUCUACUAGUUAUGUGCUUACGAAAUGCAGUCGACAAGGCAAGCUUCGAUGGCUUCUUUGAUUUUGGAUUCAGGAUCAGCCCAUUGAGCAACAACCCUCGCUCUCCCGUAAGCAGUUUCAAUAGCAAAUGUUUUCUCUGCACACAAAGCACACUUUAAGCAACCAACACACUUAACCUCGUCAACAAAUGCAGCUCGUUGCUCUGUUUCUGGUCCACACCAAACCGAAUAGAUCGGUUUCCCUGUGUAUCCUCUGAGUUCUUCCAGUUUUGCUUGCUCCUACAACAAGAAAGUUUCAUAUUUACUUGGUGUGCCCUUGACAGAGACUACAAGAAUCAAUAUAAGAGCUAACCUUGUCAUAAGCUUGACGCGUGAUCGGAUCAGAGAGAAGCUGGUAAGCCUCGUUAAGGAUGAUGGCCAUGUCGUGACC